UUUAAGGGUGCCCCCCUCGGUAGCGCUCGCUCCACCGGCGGCGGCGGCGGCGGGGGGGUCUCUCGGCGCUGUUUUCGACCGGGCUGCGUCAGGCGAGACUGGAGAGAGCCGCGGCAGCCAGGAGACGGUGGGAGGGAAAGAAGGAGGCAAGGGAGGCGAGCGAGGGGCGCCUGCAGCAUGCCGUAGCACAUGCACUCUCUCCCCCCCCUACACACACACACACCCCGUCACUCUUCGUUGGGCUACCACUCGGCUCAACUACAUCGCCAGAGGCUCUCUCCUCCUCCCCCCGGCCGGCCGCCGCCGCCACCCUGCGCCUCAGCCAGCCGGAGCUGGUUAGUGCAUCAAGACGGACUGGUGCCCUGGAAGGAUGACUGCAGCCGUUGUCUCCCAAAGACCAUAAUGCAGGCUGCUGUGUCAGUGCAUGCAGACAGAGGAAGAAAAAUUAUGGAAGAAGCAGUGGAAAAAUAAGAACAGGCUACAAGUAGAGAACACUGACAUGUGAAGCCCCAUAAAAUCUGAUGGAAUGAGGCAAGAUGAUGGUGCGUUAAAAGCAUCAUGUGAAUCUGCUCAAGAUCUUUUCUACACUGAACUUUUCUACACUUAUCUCCAACAGCAAGGAAGGUUCCUCUACCAAGUCCACUUUAUUUCAAGGAACUUUCCACGAAUGAAGAUGUUGGUGUUUCAAGAUUACCUUUUUCUACUUUGAAGUUUCUUCAGAUUCUCUUUGGAUGGUUGUUAGACUCUGCCUCAUUAUUUAUAAGAUCUGGUUUGUUUUUUAAUUUGUUCGCUGCCUUGAAUACUAUAGGAGCAGAAAACACAUGAUUUAAAGGAAUAAACACUUCCGUGUCUUCUUGGUAGAGAAGCUGUGGAAAGGAUUCUGUUGCCUUGGAUGCUAUAUGCAGAAAGAUUAUAUGUGAAUUGAAUUCCGCCAACUAACCAACCAGCCAACCAAGAUACACGGAAAGAAGUCUUUGGAAUCAAAGAAGAAAAUGUAUUUCAGAACAUAAUUCCGUACAGCUGCUCUUCCUGAUACUAAAUUCAUGUUCAAACUAGACAUUAAAAAAGAUGCAGCAUCUCAUUAAUUCAUUUUCCUUCUGAUAAUGGGUUUUUCUCAGAUGUACAUGACUCAGUGUUCAGACUUACACAUUAAGACAGAGUUUUCCUUCCAGUCAUGAAACAAAAUGUACUUACUGCAAGAUAUGUUGGGGGGAAAAUUGUGCUGUGAUGAACAAAUGGCUUUUUACAGCUUGAGGGAGCACCUCUUCUAAAUAUAUGCUACACAUAUUCUCUAGUCUGAAUGUUGGUGCUGGGAGUAAAAAAAUGGCCUGAGA